rnacentral:misc_RNA from 1 species
GAUGAAGAACGCAGCGAAAUGCGAUACGUAAUGUGAAUUGCAGAAUUCAGUGAAUCAUCGAAUCUUUGAACGCACAUUGCGCCCGCCAGCACUCUGGCGGGCAUGCCUGUACGAGCGUCAUUUCAACCAUCAAGCCCCAGGCUUGCGUUGGAGCCCUGCGGCUGCCGCAGCCUCCUAAAAGCAGUGGCGGGCUCGCUAUCACACCGAGUGCAGUAGAUUACUCUUCGCUCAGGGCGUGCAGCGGGUUCCGGCCGUGAAACCCCCUACUUUUAAAGGUUGACCUCGGAUCAGGUAGGAAUACCCGCUGAACUUAAGCAUAUCAAUAAGCGGAGGA